AACAGCUGCGGUAUUAUAACUGUACUAAGGUAGCAUAAUAAUUUGCCUUGUAAAUUAGGGCUAGAAUGAAUGGUUUGACGAGAAUUAAGCUGUCUCUAUUUUAUUUAUUAGAAAUUAAUUUUUAUAGUGAAAAAGCUUGAAUAAUUUAAAGGGACGAGAAGACCCUAUUGAGCUUAAUAUUAAUGUUUAAAUAUAAUAUAUAUUUAUUUUUAUAAUUAUUUGUUAUUAUAUAAAUGUUUAUUGAAUAUAAUUUUGAUUGGGGUGAUCAAGGAAUAAAAUAUAUAUUAACUUCCUUAAAUUAUUAAUUUUAUUGAAUAAUAAACCAAAUUUUUUGCUUAUAAGAUAAGUUACCAUAGGGGUAACAGCGUAAUUUUUUUUGAGAGUUCAUAUUGAAAAAAAAGAUUGCGACCUCGAUGUUGGAUUAAAAAUAACCUUAAGGUGUAGAGGCUUUAUUAGGUGAAUCUGUUCGAUUUUUAAAAUUUU
rnacentral:rRNA from 1 species